rnacentral:lncRNA from 1 species
CCGAGGAUGCCCUUGACACCGAAGCAGCCGCUCCGAGAGCACCUCCCGCGUAGUUCCCUUCCUUCUCUUUUUUUUUUUCCCUGCAAGUGGCGCGUGGCGCCUUAGAACUUUUUCUGUUAGCUUUCCCUUGUCAUUAUCAGUGUUAAUCGUCAACUUGUUUUGCCCAAGCUUUAAUACAUAUCCGAUGCUAUUUUAACUUGCUUCUUUGCUUAAGACUAGCUUGCCGGUGAAGGGCUCUGUCCUUCCCGUGUUUUAGCCUUGCGUACCCAGGGACUCGCCAACCACAUGCUUGGCCAGACUAGGGACCCGGGACGGACCCACGGUGCUGACCUAGGACCAAACAGCAGCGGCUAGUCACUCCGCCUGCG